UCAGCUCCUACUCUCUGUGGCAGCUAUGGAGAUUCUGAUGCUUCUGGAAGUUCACAACCACAACAUGUAACACGAUACGGAGCGGUCACACUGGUCAAACGAACUGGACUUUAGCGUUGAAGCGUGCUUGGGCACGGUACGGAUGGCCAGUGUGACCGCGUGAACGUAAUAAGCAACAACCUCUACAGGACAGCUGGUCUAUAAGGUGGCAUUCCUCAAAUCCAAAAAAAACAGACACAACAUACAGAUAUGUCGGGGACUUGAUGGCACUGGUGUUGGAGGAGAUGUUUCAGGAACCAGAACCCUUCAUGGAGGAGCUGCAGAAAAUACCAUGCUCUCAAAAAGAAGAAGUGGUGGCUCGACACGUGUCCAGGUGUAGUCAAGGGGCGGGCGGAAGCCAACAUACUGUCCAGUCGGGUCAGGAAACUCGGGGCGAAUCCUCAGGACGACACAUGACAGGAUAACCACUGCCAAGUGUCUGCACAGCAUGU